GCUGGGGUAGCUCAGUUGGUAGAGCACAAUACUGUUAAUCUCAGGGUUGUAGGUUUGAGCCCCACACUAGGCA